rnacentral:rRNA from 1 species
AGUAGCGGCGAGCGAAACGGGAAGAGGCCAAACCAGAAUGCUUGCAUUCUGGGGUUGUAGGACCGGCGAUAUGGACAAGAGACGAUAGCAGAAGCAGCUGGAAAGCUGUGCGAGACAGGGUGACAGCCCCGUAUGCGACAUCGAACCUUGCCUAGCCGGGAUCCUGAGUACGGCGGAACACGAGAAAUUCCGUCGGAAUCCGGGAGGACCAUCUCCCAAGCCUAAAUACUCCCUAGUGACCGAUAGUGAACCAGUACCGUGAGGGAAAGGUGAAAAGAACCCCGGAAGGGGAGUGAAACAGCACCUGAAACCGUGUGCUUACAAGUAGUCAGAGCCCGUUAACGGGUGAUGGCGUACCUUUUGUAGAAUGGACCGGCGAGUGACGAUGUCAUGCAAGGUUAAACCGAAGAGGUGGAGCCGCAGCGAAAGCGAGUCUGAAUAGGGCGUAGAGUAUGCCGUCGUCGACCCGAAACCAAGUGACCUACCCAUGUCCAGGGUGAAGAUGCGGUGAAACGCAUUGGAGGCCCGAACCCAAGUACGUUGAAAAGUGCUGGGAUGAGGUGUGGGUAGCGGAGAAAUUCCAAUCGAACUUGGAGAUAGCUGGUUCUCUCCGAAAUAGCUUUAGGGCUAGCCUCGGAUAGUGCAUCAUGGAGGUAGAGCGACUGUUUGGACUAGGGGCCCUUAUCGGGUUACCGAAUCCUGAUAAACUCCGAAUGCCAUGUUAUGUAGAUCCGGGAGUCACACUGCGAGUGAUAAGAUCCGUAGUGGAAAGGGAAACAGCCCAGACCGUCGGCUAAGGUCCCCAAAUUCUUGUUAAGUGGAAAAGGAUGUGGGGCUGCUUAGACAACUAGGAUGUUGGCUUAGAAGCAGCCAUCAUUUAAAGAGUGCGUAAUAGCUCACUAGUCGAGUGGCCCUGCGCCGAAAAUGUACCGGGGCUAAACAAGAUACCGAAGCCACGGAUAGAACCAUUGGUUCUAUGGUAGGAGAGCGUUCUAAGGGCGGUGAAGCAAGAUCGUGAGGACUUGUGGAGCGCUUAGAAGUGAGAAUGCCGGUAUGAGUAGCGAAAGACGGGUGAGAAUCCCGUCCACCGAAUGACUAAGGUUUCCUGGGGAAGGCUCGUCC